rnacentral:lncRNA from 1 species
UUGGCUCUCGCGCACACCCUUCCCGGGAGAACCGCUCACCCUCCACUCUUCUUCAGCCUCCCACCCCAAACCAGAAUAAAUGGCAGGUUUUGUAUUAGAAGGAGAAGAAGGAAGAGGAGGAAGAAGAAAAGAAAAACAAACAUCAACUUGACAAAUAAAUACACCACCACUGACCUGACUCCCAGCUUGUAAUCUACUUUUGUGUGUUGUUUUACUUCAUUCCUUAAAGUUGUCUAUUAUAUUCAUUGAAAUCUUUAUGAAAUAUUUUCAGAGAUUUCAUAUUUGCCGAGACACUAUCCUCCUUCAUGUGAUACUAACUUUUAAUAAAGACAGCAUUUCUUAUUGCUCCAUCCUAUUGAGUGCUCUUGACAUUUAUUUCAAGCAUCAAUUGUUACCAAUA